UUGCUUCCAAUCAGCAAUUUCACUUAUGAAAUGGUCGAAAAUGCAGGGUGACAUUGCCAUGGAUGGCAAUGUCAGGAAGCAGCGGCAUGGAAGCCGCUUGCUUCCGACCCGAUCAGCUGGAUACCAUAUAUCCAUUUCAUUAGUGAAAUCUGAUUGGAAGCUC
rfam:Lachnospiraceae bacterium 28-4 genomic scaffold acPFn-supercont1.1, whole genome shotgun sequence.